AUAGUGUAAUAUCUCAUAUCUCAUAUCCCAUAACUAAGUGAGGUAAAGAAUUAACAGUGACUCUGGGCUCAGGGCAGUGUACACUAUAAACACAGACGCAAAGACUGACAGAACAAAGACUAUCCUGUCGUAAAAGGUGAUUGCCUUCAUAUCUAUCUCCUAACACUGUUGUAUAAAUGUGGAACAGCUAUCAUGGACAAAGAGAGGAGUCCAUAGACCCGGCCUCGGGUGAGGAAACAACAAAGUCAAUGAAUGGCAUGGGAGGAUCCCAACAACAAAGGAUGAAAGGAUAUGUGUUUACACCCUCAAGGUGUCAGAACAGGUUUCAGACCUUGGGAACAAAUGUCAGAUAUGGAAGUGACUGUCUGUGCAACACUGCCACCCACAGGACAUCUUAAACAUCAUUAGUUGAUCUACACUGCCACCUACAGGACACUACUAACUUGGAGGUUUCCAUGGCUCAUCAUAUGACAUCGACUUGAUUGGCUGGGACUGUCUUUUGGGUGUGGCUAUCCUGGGAAAAGUGUAGUAUGCUUGUUUGAAUGGUCUUCCUUAUGUGUAUAUAAAGAGCAUUGUAAAUCCCUUGUUAGUUAGUCACUUUCCACUCCCUUCCAUUGCAUCCUUCCCUAUCCCUUUCUACCUCCCUCCAUGUUAGUUAGUUCCCUUUUUAUGUAAUACCUUUUAGUUCCUUUGUAAAUAAAUACCACUUAUUUAAAGAUCAGUCUGUCUCAAGUCAUUAGCCUGGCACCUCAAAAUAGAGCAGAUCCAACAUAUUGGCACCCCAGAUUUGAGGAUUUCAACUAAACCCAUCAUCCUAAGGAAAAGGAAUCUGCUUGGCUGAGAAGAUUUGAGAAGCCUGAGACUGACGCGUUAAAGGUCUGACCAGAAAAGAAAGCCUGGAGCCUAACACAGAGUACUAGUGGAAGAACGAUUGUCCAUUUAUCCUGUAAAAUGAAGAAGAUACUGUGAUUUUAAAAUUGAUUUUUGUUUCAACAGGUUGUAGAUUUGUUUUAAAACCACGUGGUACAAUCAAUGAGCUCAAUAGUAAAAUAAUUGUUUGCAAACAAUUUAAAAAAACAAUUUAAAAAAAACAAUUUAAAAAACAAUAUUUAAACUCAAUAACAUCUCUUCACAAUACUGGUGUCCUUGGUAUAUUAUUAACUUUAUUGUCCACAGGUAUUUGUUUUUGUUCAUGUAUUUGUGUUGUUAAAUGUAAAUGUGUUUAUCUUUGUUUUACAUGUUGUCUCUGUUUAGUGUUUUGUGUUAGUUUGUAUACAGUAUUAGUAUCUUCAUUGUUUUAUCAAAACACUGCUAAAAAUAGCAGACCGUGUAAUUUUGAAUUUUUUUUUUUUCCAAUUUUUUUUUUUGCUCUCUACUUGCAUAAUGGUACCUACGUUUUUCGGUACCAAAUGGGGGGUGAUCAUAGUUUUUCUUUCCUAAAGCCCAUCAAAAGAUGCAGUAGAUACAUGAAAAUGUUUUUACAAUUUUUUUUAUUGUUUUUUUGCAGCUUUCAUUUUAUAUCAUUUUAUAUUAUUUUUUUAACAGAAUGUACUGAACAGAUAAUAAUGCUAAGCAUAUGGUCCUGCUCUUGCUCUUUUAUUUCCAGGAUCCAUGAAACUACAUAGAAAACAAAAUGUGGGCCCUGGAUCAACUGAGUUUGGUUAUGUUUUGAAGGGCAAAUGUGUUUAGAACUUUUGAAUUUUAUUAAGACAGGUUUCAGAACAGCAUUACUCACACAUUGUUCAGGUUAAAUGGAAUACAUAGGGCACAACUUUCUUCUUAGAAUAAGUAUGUUUAUGUAUAUAUAUAUAUAGCAAUAUAAGUAUGUUAUUUAUGUUUUAGUUAAUGAUGUGUUUCGUUGGUUAUACAUAGUGCAUUUGCAUAUAAAGUUAGAAGGCAUUAUGCAGAUAAAAAUAACAUUAAUUUAAGAAUAUGCAGACUAGCAAACAAAUGUCUGUAUUAUACAGAGUUUAAUUUGGUGUUAUGCUACAUGGAAUGUACAUGUAUAUAUAAGGUGCAGUGUUUGGUGGUAUUGACAACCUAUGUUAUUGCCUUGUAUCUUAUCAUGUGUGAAUGAGAGUGAAUGGUGCAAUGUUGUCUGUUCCCUGCCCAAGGAUGUUACACCGAUAUAGCCACAAGUCCGAAGAGGUUCUUCCAAUGCUUUCAUGGUGUGUCCUUCAGACACAAAUGGGGGAAUGUAAUAUCUCAUAUCUCAUAUCCCAUAACUAAGUGAGGUAAAGAAUUAACAGUGACUCUGGGCUCAGGGCAGUGUACACUAUAAACACAGACGCAAAGACUGACAGAACAAAGACUAUCCUGUCGUAAAAGGUGAUUGCCUUCAUAUCUAUCUCCUAACACUGUUGUAUAAAUGUGGAACAGCUAUCAUGGACAAAGAGAGGAGUCCAUAGACCCGGCCUCGGGUGAGGAAACAACAAAGUCAAUGAAUGGCAUGGGAGGAUCCCAACAACAAAGGAUGAAAGGAUAUGUGUUUACACCCUCAAGGUGUCAGAACAGGUUUCA